GACAAUGUUGUGCAAUGGUUUGAGCAUUGGACUACGACUCUGGAGAUCAGGGUUCGAUUCCCUGCUUGGCCA
rnacentral:tRNA from 1 species